UAAAUGUGUGAGUGUGACUAGUUCAUAAUGAACAUGUUAUCUGCGCUCCUCAGUUAUCUGUGAAGAGCUAUAUUAACAACAAAUGAAACUGAACGGUACUGAAAUGAAACUGCAAGUAAAAAAAGUGCUUUCAGUUUAUAUUAUCUUAGUCACAGCAGAGGAGAGAGAGCCUCCCUUAAAGCAAUUCAGAUAGAAUGAAGACAAUGAAGACGGUGAUUUGGCUGCUGUUCUUGCUCCUCCGCAAUUCCAAAGCUCUCUUCACAGUGGAGAUGAGUCCGUACUACCUGGCUGAAUUACAUGAAAACGUUACGAUGGAAUGCCGAUUUCCACCUGGAGAUGGGAAAGCAGCCCUGUCUGUGUUCUGGGAUCGCCUUAGUCCCCCGCCACGCUUGGAGGUCUACAAAAUGGUCGACGGGAGGAACGACAUUAACUCACAGGAUCCCCAGUUUAGGGGGAGAGUGCGGCUACAGGAUGAUGAGCUCACAAAGGGACGGGCUCUGUUACAAAUCUCUGAUGUCAAGAUUAAUGAUUCUGGACAAUAUCAGUGUCUGGUGGAGAUGGGAGCUGGUGACUACAAGCAGACUACCCUCACUGUCCAAGCCUCUUACAGGAACAUCACAGCCACAGCUCUGCAGGGCUGCUCGCUCUCACCCACCCCACUCCUGCUGCAGUGCCAGGCUGCAGGGUUCCCAAAGGCCCGGGUACAGUGGACUGACACCUCCAAUAGCGCGCUGCCGGCUUCCCGGACCAACACCAGCCACACUAUGACUCAGGAUGGGCUUUACAUUGUGACAGCUCAAGUAAAAGUCAACGCCAGCUGCGGGGAGAUGUAUAACUGCAGCUACAUAACCAAACACAAUGUGACAUCAGCGUUGAUCUAUCUCUCAGCUGCAUCUAGGACAUUGUCUCGAAAUAUUUCUACCUUGUCUGUCAUACUAAUGUUAGGUGGUGCUUUAUUGGGGAUGGCUCUGUGUGUAUCCCUAGGACUGUUAUUUAAGAAACGGGGAUUUGGGCGACUCCAAGGUACGGGUCCAGAUGCUCUGAAUAGUUCCACACAAAGUACUGUCAUAUUAUUCCUUUAUCUGACACCAUCAUUCAAAUCCACUUACAGUCCAUAGAACUCAGUUGCAGAAUUUAACCACAGCACUUUGCUGUAUUCAGUGGUGGCUACAAUAUGACAGAAUUGCAACUACAACAGUAGUAUAGGAAUGAAAGGAGCUUAACUCUAACAGCAAAAUUAAAGUUUGGGCAGUUGAGCCUGGAUCCUUUAAUAACAAUGAAACGAUUUAAUGGUUUAAUACACUUAUUGGUGUAUUACAACAUCCUACACUUAUUAAAUGGUCAAUGGUUCUCAGUCCUUUUCCUGGAGGACUCCAACCCACACUGCUUUCAGCCUUCAUUAUUAGCCUAUUAAGGACCAUCUGAGCCUGAUUAAGGUAGGGUUGGAAUGAAAAUAUUCUGGGAGGCACCAGAAACAGGAUUGAGAACUACUGGCAUAGUGAAUAAGCAAGAAAUAUGAGUAAACAUGAUAUAUCAUUUAAGUAUUUAUAGGGUUCCAUUAUACAUGCAAGACUGAGAGCAUCAUAUUGUGUUUCUUCACCAGGUAGAAAGCAAACUUAUGUUAGGAAGAGGGCUUUUUUUGAACACCGCAGGUAAAAUACAAAUACAGUUCGAAUAGGUAAUAUCUUACUUAUAUAGGCUUAUAUAAUUCUUCCAAUUAAAUUGUAAUACAAUGACUUGACAAGGAUCAUUUCACCAACCAUGUACAUGAUCGUAAUUGUAGUCUAUCUGAUAUAUAUGAUCCAAUAGAUUCCUUUAUUUGAUCUGAAAUGUCUGGAUGUCUUUAUGUUCCAAUUCUGCAAUGUUACUUUGGCUAGGAUACAUGGAAAGUACUGAAGAAGGCAGUAAGGAAGUCGAGUUACAGAGACUGUGAAACAUUUUCCGGGACAAUCUACUUCUUCAUCGUAGUGGAUCCGCUCUUAUUUAUUGUUACAUGAACGGCUUUCUGGAGCGACAUCCUAAAUCAAAGGGUAGCAAUUUGGCCCCGUCCCUCCAGGUUUUCGGGUUUGAUUACUGCCCCUGGUUCUGUGUACGUGUAUCUAAUUAGUGUUUCUAAUGUUCCCUUGUGUGUGUGUGUGCGUGUGUGUGUGUGUCCUGUGAUGCGCUGGGUCCAAUCCCAGGUGUCCCCUGCCUUGUCUCCUAAGUGGGUUUGCCUGGAUCAAGGGCAUAGACUGUAGGGACACGUCCAUGCCGAUAUGUGGGAGUACCGUGUGUGUUAAAGGGGGAAGGAAGUUCGGGGCUGAUUUGGUCCUUACCCAUGUUAAAACCAAGCCUACGCCCUUGAUUAGGAUAGGCUCCAUGAUCAGGAUUAACUUUUUGGAUAUAUAAAACAUGGUUUUUGGACCUGACUGGAAUAUAACAUGGAAUUUAUGCAUGUAUAUUAGGCUAAAUAAUAUCAAAUUAAGAAAAAUAAAGACAAUCAGCCUAAUGAAUAAGAAAUCACAGGCACAAAAAUGCAAGGGUGGGAGACACAGUUAGUUAGUUAGUUAGUUAGUUAGUUGUGAUGAGUAUGACAAUGGAAAUGACAUGUUUUGCACUUUGUUUCUAGAAACUUAUAAACAGUGUGAAUAUAUUAACAAGUAUAAGCAUUAAUGUAAUUCCAAGAAAUACGCGUUUCUAAAUGUGUGACAGAAGUCAGAGGUCACCAAUAUUGCAAAUAUGUGUUUGAGUAUUGCAAGAGUAUCUGAAUAGCCUGUAAUGAUAUGUUAGUAAACGUGUGCAAUUCUUUUCUAUGGCUCUGAGACAUGCAGCUACUUGUUUCAGGAUUUUAAUGUGACCACCAGUUCAUGUCUGCUUGACGUGUCCCACUGAUAGAACAUGAGAAUGUUCUAAGUGAGCACAUUGGCUCACUGGAUAACACUGCGUCCUCACACCUCAGUAAGUGUGGCUUUGAUUCUCAGAACUAUGUCAGUGAGGUUUUCUUAUACUGGCAUCGAGUGCACAUAUGAUGUUCUGGUUUCCUUCAAGGAGAAGUGGAAUGGCACAUCACUUAAUGUGCGACAGUUAGCACGAUCGCUGGGGUAGAAGUGCAACUUUGCUUAAUGUGUAGGAAAUUUCACUUUGUGGUCCUUAUCUUUACAUAAAAACAAUGGAUAUUAACAAGUAACAUUAUUUUAAACUACUUGAUGUAGCAUUACUGUAUUACAGUAUAGUAUAUUUUUCAGAUUAAAAUAUUAUCAAAUAUA